GGCGGACGGGUGAGUAACGCGUGGGUAACCUGCCUUAUACUGGGGGAUAACAGCCAGAAAUGACUGCUAAUACCGCAUAAGCGCACAGAACCGCAUGGUUCGGUGUGAAAAACUCCGGUGGUAUAAGAUGGACCCGCGUUGGAUUAGCUAGUUGGUAGGGCAGCGGCCUACCAAGGCGACGAUCCAUAGCCGGCCUGAGAGGGUGAACGGCCACAUUGGGACUGAGACACGGCCCAGACUCCUACGGGAGGCAGCAUG
rnacentral:rRNA from 1 species